CGCCUGGAUACACACACACUCACAUCCUUACACGUGCACGCACACAGGGACGUCCACACAAGUCCUCAUACUAUAUGUGUGUGCACACAUGCACGCCCUACAUUCACGUGCACGUCCUCACAUGCUUGGUGACCAUGUGAGCAGGAUGGUCCAGUAGUUCUGUAGGAACCGGCCUGUUUCCAAUGUCUGACAUUUGUAUAGCUGAGACGCAGGACAUGGAGGCAUACGCCCUGUAACGUCGUGUAAGGUCCUGUAAAGUCGCGUAACGUCGUGUAACGUUACACAAAGUUGUCUAACGUCGUGUAAAGUCGCGCAACGUUGCAUAAGGUCGUGUAACGUCGUCUAAGGUCGUGUAACGUUACACAAAGUUGUCUAACGUCGUGUAAGGUCGUGUAACGUCGUUUAAGGUCGUGUAACGUUACACAGAGUUGUCUAACGUCGUGUAAAGUCGCGCAACGUUGCAUAAGGUCGUGUAACGUCGUCUAAGGUCGUGUAACGUUACACAAAGUUGUCUAACGUCGUGUAAGGUCGUGUAACGUCGUCUAACGCCGUGUAAAGUCGUGUCACGUUACACAAAGUUUUCUAACGUCGUGUAAGGUCGUGUAACGUCGUGUAAGGUCGUGUAACGUUACACAAAGUUGUCUAACGUCGUGUAACGUUACACAAAGUUGUCUAACGUCGUGUAACGUUACAGAAAGUUUUCUAACGUCGUGUAACGUCGUCUAACGCCGUGUAAAGUCGUGUCACGUUACACAAAGUUUUCUAACGUCGUGUAACGCCAUGUAACAUUACACACAACGUUGUGUAACCUUAAACAACGUUGUGCAACGUUGUGCAACGUCGUUUAACGCCGUGUAAAGUCGUGUCACGUUACACAAAGUUGUCUAACGUAGUGUAACGUCGUCUAACGCCGUGUAAAGUCGUGUCACGUUACACAAAGUUUUCUAACGUCGUGUAACGCCAUGUAACAUUACACACAACGUUGUGUAACGUCGUUUAACGCCGUGCAACAUCAUGUAAGGUCGUGUAAUGUUGUGUAAGGUCAGGUAACGUUACACCACGUGGUGUAACGUCGUGUAUCAGCGGUUGUCUUGUGGACGGUUGUGAUCUACACCACACCUACCAACGGUCAGAGCUUCCAAUCUUCUGGAUCAGAGCAGAGGGCGGAGCUUCCUGCUGUGGUGGCGCGGUGACGUCGGUGGGCUUUACACUGCCUCCCCCUCCCCCCA